UACGUAGGGUGCGAGCGUUAAUCGGAAUUACUGGGCGUAAAGCGUGCGUAGGUGGUUAGGUAAGUCCGAUGUGAAAUCUCCAGGCUCAACCUGGAAAUGGCAUUGGAUACUAUCUAGCUUGAGGAGUGGAGGGGGGACUGGAAUUCUCGGUGUAGCAGUGAAAUGCGUAGAUAUCGAGAGGAACACCAGUGGCGAAGGCGAGUCCCUGGACACUUCCUGACACUGAGGCACGAAAGCUAGGGGAGUAAACAGG
rnacentral:rRNA from 1 species